rnacentral:rRNA from 1 species
UACGUAGGUGGCAAGCGUUGUCCGGAAUUAUUGGGCGUAAAGCGCGCGCAGGCGGUCCUUUAAGUCUGAUGUGAAAGCCCACGGCUCAACCGUGGAGGGUCAUUGGAAACUGGGGGACUUGAGUGCAGAAGAGGAAAGCGGAAUUCCACAUGUAGCGGUGAAAUGCGUAGAGAUGUGGAGGAACACCAGUGGCGAAGGCGGCUUUCUGGUCUGUAACUGACGCUGAGGCGCGAAAGCGUGGGGAGCAAACAGG